rnacentral:rRNA from 1 species
UUUGAUCCUGGCUCAAAUUGAACGCUGGCGGCUUGCCUCCCUUAUGCAAGUCGAACGGCAGCACGGGAGCAAUCCUGGUGGCGAGUGGCGAACGGGUGAGUAAUAUAUCGAAACGUGCCCAGUCGGGGGGGAUAACGCAGCGAAAGCUGUGCUAAUACCGCAUACAAUCUAUGGAUGAAAGCGGGGGAUCGCAAGACCUCGCGCGAUUGGAGCGGCCGAUAUCAAAUUAGCUAGUUGGUGGGGUAAAAGCUCACCAAGGCGACAAUCUGUAGCUGGUCUGAGAGGACAACCAGCCACACUGGAACUGAAACACGGUCCAAACUCCUACGGGAGGCAGCAGUGGGGAAUUUUGGACAAUGGGCGCAAGCCUGAUCCAGCAAUGCCGCGGGCAGGAUGAAGGCCUUCGGGUUGUAAACUGCUUUUGUACGGAGCGAAACAGCUUGCUCUAAUAAAGUGAGUGAAUGACGGUACCGUAAAAAUAAGCACCGGCUAACUACGUG